rnacentral:lncRNA from 1 species
UGCACUCCCAAGACCCCCGGACUCAGGUGGUCAAGCCCGUCCUGAUACUGAAUGGUACAGUGAGGAGUGGCCACCCAAGGGAGGCAGUCUCGGAGGUCACAGGAGCUGAUAAGCCUGGAUGA